CACACUUCUUGUUUCAGGUCUUGAAGAUGGUACUUUCUGAUGACUUAACUGAAGGACAUCCUGUUUGUACACAGCAAUGGCCAAUUUCCCACUGUUUGAUGAUUGACUGAUGUUCAUAAAAACUAAACAUAGGCUAAUAACAACCAGUUAUUUUAGUUAGUUCAUAUGUUAGCGAAUAGCAUCUUAAGUCAGUUUAGACAGGAAGAUCGCAAACAGGAAGAGAUUGGGAAUUUUUCAGGUUGGAUCAUAGUUUGGAAACUCCCACAGAAGAAUCAUCUGUGGUUGAUGGAGAUCAGCCUACCAGAAUCACCGAUAUUCAGAUCAACUCGUGCACUUAAGAAACAGCUCUAUCCGGAAACCAACACUAAAUCCCGAAACCAACAAUAAUCCUGUAGUUAGCGCUGGACAUACAUUGCGUUGAAGCAUGGCAGGCAUCCUCAAGAUCUACUUCAUCGGAACAAUGUUUUCGGUUUUGGUGGCUCUUUUUGGACUAGUGGACUCUGUCGGAGGCCUGAUGUAUCCUCAAGGUUCUGCUCUGACUGAGGAUUGCUGGAUAGAGAAACAUCCUCCAGUUUCUCCUUCACGGACUGCUGCCAAUACAAAGCGCGUGGACUUACGAUGAUCGCGUGGACGUUCAUUUCUUCUCCGAGUCUUGUUGUUGGUAAAUGGUCUGUGUUUAAAGGUUACUGAUUGACUAUAACAAACAUGGAUUUACUUCCUUUUGCACUACUGCGAGACAUUGGUCUAUGUGGACCUGAAUGCAUCAAAUAUGAAAUAUUUGGCAUUCAGUGCGUGCGAAGAACACAAUUGAGAUCUACUGGUACGUGUAUCAAACUUUUGACCUUGGUUGGAUGUUAUUUUUGUUACUGUGUGGAGGUCUUGUUUGAUUUAACAUAUUGGCAGCUGUCCAAAAGAAGACACUUUGUGGAUAUACUGUAUAGUUGUGUUAAGGACGAAAAACACAUACUGCAUGAUCAAUUUUCCACAUUAAAUAAAUACUGUAGUAUGUAGUAUACACUAUAUCUAGUAUUCUAGUAUGUAGAAUUUAUACUAUAUAGAUACUACAUUGAUUUUGAACCUUACUAUUGUAAAUGUUAAACUAUAAUACAGUAUUACUACAGUUUAUCAAUUCACUAUUCUUCAGAAAAGUGUUGUAAUAACUGAAGUAUACUAUAGUAUACAUUAGCAAAGUGUAAUAAUUACUGUAUUAUACUACGGUAAAGUACAAUUUACUUCUUUGUACUGGUAAAUACUAAAGUAUACUACAGUGUUUUUUUAUUUCAUUUGGGCUGUAAAAUAUUGAAAUCUUUCUAUGCUUAUUUUUUCUAAUGGUUUUUGAGUUUGUGACUUUAUGUAUUGUCUAGGUCAGUGAUGAUCCACUGACAUAAACAUAAAAUGUUUUAAUGGAAGUUUGAGGAAACACACAUUAUUUUCUUUGUAACAUUUUAGUAGUUUUUAUUUUCCUUGUCAUUUUAUUAAUGAAAUGUAAGUUUAAUUGUCAUUGUUUGUCAUUAGUUGGACUAAACUGUUUUUGUGUCAUUCACCCGCUACAGAAAAGUGACUUUGACCUACUCGCCUUAUUCCACUGUGCGACCCACAGUUUGAAAACCCCUAGUUUAGAUUACUAUUGGGAAUGCUAAAAUAAGCAUAUCAAAACUACACUUUUUAAACACACUAUAGUUAUAAGUAUUUGAAAAACUCAUUGAGUGAAUGUUUGUACAAAAUACUGUAUAUUGUUUGACACUUUUGUCUGUUUACAUUUUGAGCAACAUCGGAAAGAUAACAUGUUUGUUGACAGACCAAAAAUAAGUUUUAUUACUUUACACUGUUUCAUAAACAAAUUAAUAAAAAGUUAUUAAAAUAA